CGAAAGGGAAUCCGGUUCCCUUCCGGAACCCGGCAGCGGAACCGUUUCAAUAAUCGUUCCCUCGUUUUUACAGCGAGUGUUCGACGGGGUAACCCAAAGUGGCCUGAAGACGCCGCCGAGAGGUCCGGGAAGAGUUUUCUUUUCUGCCUGAGCGUUCGAGUUCCAUGGAAUCCUAUAGAAGGGAGAUAUGGUUCGGAACGCGAAGAGCACCGCAUUUGCGGCGGUGUCCGGAUACUCUCUGCGGACCUUGAAAAUUCAGGUGAGGGAUGUACGUGGAGAUGUCGCGCCGGUUCGUACCCAUA
rnacentral:rRNA from 1 species